AUCUCACUCCCGCCACAGCUUGGGAUCGGUCUCUGCUGUUUUACGUCCUCCACCUCGGGAGCCCCCGGUGACUGUCACAGCCUCUUGCCCUGUGAUCUGCAGGUUCUGGGAGACGCACAGCUAAGAUGCCAGGACAUCCUGGAAGCUGGGAAAAGAUGGAGUUUCACUCUUGUUGCCCAGGCUGGAGUGCAUUAUCCCAAUCUCGGCUUACUACAACCUCCGCCUCCCAGGUUCUGACAACAAAGGAGAUUGUGACAUAUUGCUGGGCCUAACACUAAGGUGAUGUUAGUUAUUUGCUUUGGCUGUGCCCUUGGAAGGCAUUGAGACAUACUGCUGUGCCCAGCACCAAGAUGAUGUAACGUGACUCUUCUGCUUCAGGCCUGCCAAAAGAAAAGAUUGUGACAGAUCACUGGACCCAGCACCUAGGUAGGAUUGUGACAUAUAUCUGGCCAAGCGUACAGAUGUAAUGAUGACUGUCAUACCUUGAAGAAGCCAAUAGCAGAGAGAAUGUUGCUCUCAGGCUUAGGAAAAUGAGGAAGUCUUUCUGUACAAAAGUCAUAAAGAAUUACUACUCUCUCACAUAUAUUACGCCCUAGUGUGUUACAGAGAAUGUCAUAACAGGGCCCAGCACACAAGUGAGAUUGUGUUUGUCCUAUGCACACUACACCAACCUUUACAGUUGUCACCCUGACCCAUUGACAGAGUCUGCUAGUGAGGUUCUGAAUUACAUGUGAACACAGUCCGCAGUUGGAAUUGUGACUGUCAUAUGUGAACAUCUGGCUACAGUUGGGAUGGUGACUCAUUUCUAAAUCCAGCUCAUAGGAAGGUGAAGACUCUCCUAUCUGGACUCAGUUGGUGAGAGAGAUGUUGACUCUCAUAUCUGGGCUUAGAACCACAGGAAAGAUUCUGGAGCUCCUUGUGCAAAGGUCAUAGAGGAUUAUCAAUCUUGCAUAUUGUAUAAAGUCCUCAGGUGACACAGAGUGUCUCUCGAAUGCACACCCAGGCAACAGUAAAGAUUGUCAUUCUCCCACAUAAACACAUCCCACUGUUGAAGUUCUGAAUUUCACAGAGGCUGUCAAAAGUUGGAUAAUUGCCUCUCAUGUGUGGAUCUGGUCCACAGGUGGGUUAGUGACUUCCAGACCAAGGUUCAGCGCACAUGUAAGGCUGUGACUACACUAAGAAGAUACAGUCUGCAGAAGAAACUGUGGCUCUUUUGCACACAUUCUGUCAAUCAUUGUGAUUGCGACUCAUGUACUUAGACCCAACAUACAGGAGGUGUUGACUUUCAUACCUUUAGAACCUGGACAUGUUUGGAAUUUCUAAUCUAAUCCCUGGACUUUCCUGCAGGUGUGAUUGUGUGCAUUGCAAAGCACCUUAGUGAUUUGACUCUCCUGCCUUGGCCAAGCACACAAAUGAGAUUGUGACAUAUGGCUUGACUCUGAACCUCCAAGAUGUGACUCUUUUUUCCAGCCUUGGAGCUGCCCACAUGUUGCAUUGUGACAUAUUCCUAAGCCCUGCACUCAGGUUAUGUGACUCUCCUUUUUUGCUUAGGCCCUGAAUAUUUUUCAUGUUAAGACAUAUUACUAGGUCCAACACCUAUAAAAUGGGAGACUACCACCUGGGCUCUUUCUACAGAGGGCCUUGUGACAUACCUCUGCAUCAAUAACCUAGGAGAUGUGAUGCUCCAUUUUUGCCUGUACGUGCCCCACAGAAAAAAUUGUGGCUGGCCCAGGUACCAGGUGAUGUGUCUCUGCUGCCUGGGCCUGGACCACAGAGAGCAUUGUUACUGAUUGCUGGGCUCAGCACCCAGGUGAUGUGACUCUGCUGCCUGUGUGCUGCUUUCAGGAGAAUCGCUUGAACCAGGUAGGCGGAGAUUGCAGUGAGCCGAGAUUGCGCCACUGCACUCCAGCCUGGGUGACAGGGAGACUCCAUCUCAAAGAAAAAAAAAGUGACCUUUUGCAGCACAUAGCUGAUUUGACUGCUUUGUGGAGUACACCAAGCAGGUUGUCAAACUGGUGGUCCCUUUACUGAAAUUUUAUUUCCACAAUGGUGUUGGAGGGGCAGCAGCAGAAUCCGUGCCUUUUCUUCUGGAGUGUGUGAGAGUCCGUGGUCCUGAGUAUCUCACACAGAUGUGGCAAUUUAUGUGAUGUUCUGAUUAAGACCAUUGGUACAGAAACAGAUUCAGAUGUCCUCAGAAAUAAUGCAUUGUUUAGCAAAGUGCAUUGAAGUUAUGGGAGAUGGAUGCCUUAAUAAUGAACACUUUGAAGAACACCUUUGCCACAUGUCCUCAGGACCUUCUGAGGGCUGUGUCAUGGGGCAUGGUCACUCAUAUUUGACUCAAUAAAUUUCUUCAAAUAUU
rnacentral:lncRNA from 10 species